UACGUAGGGUGCAAGCGUUGUCCGGAAUUAUUGGGCGUAAAGAGCUCGUAGGCGGUCUGUUGCGUCGGCUGUGAAAACCCGAGGCUCAACCUCGGGCCUGCAGCCGAUACGGGCAGACUAGAGUUCGGCAGGAGAGACUGGAAUUCCUGGUGUAGCGGUGAAAUGCGCAGAUAUCAGGAGGAACACCGGUGGCGAAGGCGGGUCUCUGGGCCGAUACUGACGCUGAGGAGCGAAAGCGUGGGGAGCGAACAGG
rnacentral:rRNA from 1 species